CCCAACGCCCAACUUUCUUCUUUUUUCUUCCUUCAUGUCCACACCCAGAUCUGAUAGAGAUCAGAUCUAAGAAGAGAAAAGAGAGAGAAGAAGAGAAGAAGGGUUCUUCUUCUCUUCAUGGUGAUCUGGUUCAGAUUCCGUCGGAUCUGCACAAAAGAGUUCGCGUAGCGAUCUGCUUCUUCAAGAUCUAGAAGAAGAGAUCAAGAUCCAUGG
rnacentral:lncRNA from 1 species